UUACGGCCAAAUCACGUUGAAACGUCGGGUUUCACAAGAUCACCGGAGUUAAGCAACGUCGAGCAUGGUUAGUACCUAGAUGGGUGUCCACUCGGGAAUACCGGGUACUGUAAG